rnacentral:rRNA from 1 species
GAUGAACGCUGGCGGCGUGCCUAAUACAUGCAAGUCGAGCGAACAGAUGAGGAGCUUGCUCCUCUGACGUUAGCGGCGGACGGGUGAGUAACACGUGGAUAACCUACCUAUAAGACUGGGAUAACUUCGGGAAACCGGAGCUAAUACCGGAUAAUAUAUUGAACCGCAUGGUUCAAUAGUGAAAGACGGUUUUGCUGUCACUUAUAGAUGGAUCCGCGCCGCAUUAGCUAGUUGGUAAGGUAACGGCUUACCAAGGCAACGAUGCGUAGCCGACCUGAGAGGGUGAUCGGCCACACUGGAACUGAGACACGGUCCAGACUCCUACGGGAGGCAGCAGUAGGGAAUCUUCCGCAAUGGGCGAAAGCUUGACGGAGCAACGCCGCGUGAGUGAUGAAGGUCUUCGGAUCGUAAAACUCUGUUAUUAGAGAAGAACAAAUGUGUAAGUAACUAUGCACGUCUUGACGGUACCUAAUCAGAAAGCCACGGCUAACUACGUG